rnacentral:misc_RNA from 1 species
GAACGCACAUUGCGCCCGCCAGUAUUCUGGCGGGCAUGCCUGUUCGAGCGUCAUUUCAACCCUCAAGCCCCCGGGCUUGGUGUUGGAGAUCGGCGUGCCCCCCGGGGCGCGCCGGCUCCCAAAUAUAGUGGCGGUCUCGCUGUAGCUUCCUCUGCGUAGUAGCACACCUCGCACUGGAAAACAGCGUGGCCACGCCGUUAAACCCCCCACUUCUGAAAGGUUGACCUCGGAUCAGGUAGGAAUACCCGCUGAACUUA